rnacentral:rRNA from 1 species
CGUCAUUUCUCCCUCAAACCCUCGGGUUUGGUGUUGAGCGAUACGCUGGGUUUGCUUGAAAGAAAGGCGGAGUAUAAACUAAUGGAUAGGUUUUUUCCACUCAUUGGUACAAACUCCAAAACUUCUUCCAAAUUCGACCUCAAAUCAGGUAGGACUACCCGCUGAACUUAAGCAUAUCAAUAAGCGGAGGAAAAGAAACCAACAGGAAUUGCCUUAGUAGCGGCGAGUGAAGCGGCAAAAGCUCAAAUUUGAAAUCUGGCACUUUCAGUGUCCGAGUUGUAAUUUGAAGAAGGUAUCUUUGGGUCUGGCUCUUGUCUAUGUUUCUUGGAACAGAACGUCACAGAGGGUGAGAAUCCCGUGCGAUGAGAUGUCCCAGACCUAUGUAAAGUUCCUUCGAAGAGUCGAGUUGUUUGGGAAUGCAGCUCUAAGUGGGUGGUAAAUUCCAUCUAAAGCUAAAUAUUGGCGAGAGACCGAUAGCGAACAAGUACAGUGAUGGAAAGAUGAAAAGAACUUUGAAAAGAGAGUGAAAAAGUACGUGAAAUUGUUGAAAGGGAAGGGCUUGAGAUCAGACUUGGUAUUUUGUAUGUUACUCUCUCGGGGGUGGCCUCUACAGUUUACCGGGCCAGCAUCAGUUUGAGCGGUAGGAUAAGUGCAAAGAAAUGUGGCACUGCUUCGGUAGUGUGUUAUAGUCUUUGUCGAUACUGCCAGCUUAGACUGAGGACUGCGGCUUCGGCCUAGGAUGUUGGCAUAAUGAUCUUAAGUCGCCCGUCUUGAAACACGGACCAAGGAGUCUAACGUCUAUGCGAGUGUUUGGGUGUAAAACCCGUACGCGUAAUGAAAGUGAACGUAGGUAGGACCUCCUUUAGGAGUGCACUAUCGACCCGAUCCUGAUGUCUUCGGAUG